CGUGAACCUUUACUAUAGCUUGACACUGAACAUUGAGCCUUGAUGUGUAGGAUAGGUGGGAGGCUUUGAAGUGUGGACGCCAGUCUGCAUGGAGCCGACCUUGAAAUACCACCCUUUAAUGUUUGAUGUUCUAACGUGGACCCGUGAUCCGGGUUGCGGACAGUGUCUGGUGGGUAGUUUGACUGGGGCGGUCUCCUCCUAAAGAGUAACGGAGGAGCACGAAGGUUGGCUAAUCCUGGUCGGACAUCAGGAGGUUAGUGCAAUGGCAUAAGCCAGCUUGACUGCGAGCGUGACGGCGCGAGCAGGUGCGAAAGCAGGUCAUAGUGAUCCGGUGGUUCUGAAUGGAAGGGCCAUCGCUCAACGGAUAAAAGGUACUCCGGGGAUAACAGGCUGAUACCGCCCAAGAGUUCAUAUCGACGGCGGUGUUUGGCACCUCGAUGUCGGCUCAUCACAUCCUGGGGCUGAAGUAGGUCCCAAGGGUAUGGCUGUUCGCCAUUUAAAGUGGUACGCGAGCUGGGUUUAGAACGUCGUGAGACAGUUCGGUCCCUAUCUGCCGUGGGCGCUGGAGAACUGAGGGGGGCUGCUCCUAGUACGAGAGGACCGGAGUGGACGCAUCACUGGUGUUCGGGUUGUCAUGCCAAUGGCACUGCCCGGUAGCUAAAUGCGGAAGAGAUAAGUGCUGAAAGCAUCUAAGCACGAAACUUGCCCCGAGAUGAGUUCUCCCUGACCCUUUAAGGGUCCUGAAGGAACGUUGAAGACGACGACGUUGAUAGGCCGGGUGUGUAAGCGCAGCGAUGCGUUGAGCUAACCGGUACUAAUGAACCGUGAGGCUUAACCUUACAACGCCGAAGGUGUUU
rnacentral:rRNA from 2 species